UUUUUUCUCUUCUCCUUUUUUCAAAAAUAAUUUGGGGGUUGGGGCAGACAUGGAAGGACUGGGAAAAGAGUGUGAUCAGGUUGUAUGAUAUCAAAUUCCCAAAGAAUCAAGAAAAAUAUUACAUUAAAAAAAAGGUAUAAAGUAACAGUGGAAAUUGACCUCUGACUUUCACAUGUACACACAUGAACUAGCAUACCCACACCACAUAUAUACAUAUGCAUACCAAGCAUACACACAGACAUAUGCACACACACACACACACACACAGAUUUAAGAUGACGAUGACAACAACAGACCCAAAUAAGAAACAUAUCUUACUUUUUUGUUGCUGUGAUAAAACACCAUGACCAAGGUAACUUCUAGAAGGAAGAGUUUAUUUGGGGCUGACGGUUCCAGAGGAAUAAACGUCCAUCACUCUUAUGGUGGGGAUCAUGACAGCAGGGAAGAACAUGGUGCUGAGCCAGCUCACAUCUCCAUCCACAAGCAGGAAGCACAGAGAGAACCAAUUCAAAAUGGAGUGAAUUUUAAAACCUAAGCCCAUCUCCAGGGACAUACUUCCUCCAGCAAGGCCACACCUCCUAACCCUCUCCCAAAACCACCAACAGGGCACCAAGUAUUCAAAUGCCUGAGACAUAUGGACGUUGCUUAUGCCAAGUGUUUGACCCCCAACAAGAAAAGUAACUUUGUAGCACUCUCUCGGGCCUCUGUUUGCAAAAAGAGUUGAGCAAAAAGGAGAGAAAAGUCUCACUCUUGUGAGAACCUCAGCAGGAAACAGAUUGAAGCCAGCACCAUAAUCACGGCUCAGGCCCUGGCCUACCGUUGAUGGAGCCCUCAUCCUCUCUUACUGUCCAGUUCCACCUCCUGGCCUUUCUUCUCCCUUCUCAACCCAGAAGAGAGAUCUCACGCUGUGAUCCAGAGCCCUGGGCUCACUUGUGGAUACAAGGCCACAGUGCUUGCCUUGUGGGAUGGGACUGAACCACGCAUCAGAUCCCGGAAACUGCACUGGGCUAAAUAGGCAGAACCCCACUGCUGUGCUACCCACCCACUGACCUGAUACCCUACCUGCCCCCGACCUCUGGCUGGUUCCUCUCUCCUGCUCCAGUAAACCCACAGUGCCGGGGGGAUGCUGGACCCUACUUGAACUGGAGUCGGUGGGUUACUUCCAACCUGUGCACCUCGUGUUCUUGGGAGAGGCGGAGAUGGAUUUUCCUUCUCCCCGACCCAUGCUAGGGCAGCAAACAGGCUCUAGGAAGUGGGAGUCCUGGGCUCUUACCUGAAUCCCAUCACUGUUUGGGGUGUGAUAGGGAGAGCCCCUGCCACGUAGGGUCAAUUUACUUCUCUUAAAGGGGCUUGUACUUAGGGACACCAUGCUGAGGCUCUGGUUACUCUCUUGGCUGGCCUUGAGGAAACCCCCAUGGCUUGAGUCUGCACUGAGAUUACCAUUGGGAUCUUCUGUACUUGUGGAUGGCUCUCUACCACCUAUGUAUCUAUAGCUAUCCCAAAGCUCGGACAGCCAGGAAUCAGGCUGCUUGCUGUCUUAGCGUCAUAGUUCUGCCCCUAGCUAGCUCUUGGAGUCACGGGCACGCUCAAAGAAGGCCCUAGCACCUGCCGCAGUGGGACUUCUGUGUUCUCAGCAGCUGCUGUCACCAGCAUUUUGAUAAAUGUCUUAGGAAACCGAACUUAGUGGUAAGAAUCAAAGCAGAGAUUGGUGUCAAAGGAUGGCGGUGGAGCCUGAGGCUUCCGGUUGGGGGUGGGGCACCGGAGUGUGUGUGCGCGAUAAGCCUGCAGGGGGCACCCAGAGAUUCAAAGCCAGCUCUGCCUCAGUGGUGGUCAUGGGCCCUUUCUGGAAGGAUGGAAAGGUACUGAUAGUUAACCAGUGACAUACCUGCAGGGUUAACCUUUGCUUGGCCAGGUGUGCACAGCCUCCCACGUGGCUGGGAGCCUGGGGAGGAGGGGCAAGAGGGGGCAUGGGCUGAGAACCUUUGCUGAGGACCCGAGAGGGCGAGAGCUAGCUGUCCCCAUAGUGCCUGAUGCUUUUAUUUCUAGACUUUUCUACUUAAGAGUAAUUUAACAUCUACGUGGAAAUGCUGAAGUAAGAAACCACUACAAGAAAAUAAGAGAAUUUCCAGAAUCCAUCUGGCUUUUAUAAGGCGAUGGAGAAUAAACCAGAAGCCAAGGUCACAGAUGGGGAUGAAGAAGGGAACCCAGGCUUCUCUUUUGAAGAUGGCAAGUUCGGAGGAUGCAUUACAAACAUCUUGCCUGUUAUGGAUGCCAGCUUGGGCCAGGCUGUGUGCUGAGAACAGGUAAGGUAGGUCUGGAGGAGGGCAACACCCAGUGAGGAGAGAAGCUGAGUGCCCCCCCUCCUUCAACUGUGUCACCCACCAUUUUGUGCCCCUGGGUCUGUGCCUUGCCACUCUUUUGUUUGUGUUUGCAUCCAGAUGGACCAUUUACUUACUCUGCUAUUCAGUGCCCCGGUGACCAUGCUGUGCUUCCUGUCAAGCCUGAGACAAGUAAGACAGGCAAGCAUGGUGUGUAGAAUGAAGAUCUCCCCGUACGGUAACACCCUGAGCUCCAGCAAGCCUGCUGUGGGUCCCAUGUGCUACCUGAGUAUGUAAACAUGCCCUUUGUCCCAACAGGUAAACUUCCCCUGAACCUGGUUUUAAUAUCAACAUAGAUCUCAGCCCAGAAAUUUCAGAGCUAGGGAAUUUCUACUGCAGCAAGCCAGUGGCCAUGAGGACAACAGACAUGGCUUGUAGUAAUUCUGGGGACACCAAAAAAUUUGAAGACUCACCAUUAUUGUUUGAAUGUGAGCAGUGGUCUAUGGAAUCCUCUUUGAACACUUGGUACCUGGCUAACAGUGCUGUUCUGGGAAGCUAGGGAGCCUUUGGGAAGAGAGCCUGGAAGGUGACAGCUGUUUCUACCCCACUUUCCCCAAGACAGGGUCUUUCUGUGUAGCCCUGGCUGUCUUGGAACUCAAUCUGUAGACCAGGCUGUCCUUCAACUUGGAUACCCCAGUGCUGGAUUAAAGGUGUGGGCCACCACUACUUCUUUUCUUUCUUUCUUUCUUUCUUUCUUUCUUUCUUUCUUUCUUUCUUUCUUUCUUUCUUUCUUUCUUUCUUUCUUUCUUUCUUUCUUUCUUUCUUUCUUUCUUCCUUCCUUCCUUCCUUCCUUCCUUCCUUCCUUCCUUCCUUCCUUCCUUCCUUCCUUCUCCUUCUUCUCUUCUUUUCUUCGAGACAGGGUUUCUCCAUGUAGCCCUGGCUGUCCUGGAACUCACUUUGUAGACCAGGCCGGCCUCUGCCUCAGAAAUCCACCUGCCUCUGCCUCAGGAGUGCACCACCACACCCGGUGCUUGUUUCUACUUUUUAUUUGCUGCUACAGUGUGGCCAUCCCAAGCCUCCACUGUCACAGAAUUCACACCAGUCACGUCUUCCUGCAACAAUGGAUUGCUGCCUGGAACCAAGAGCUAAAAUCAACAUCUCUUUUCUUAAGCUGUCUCUGUCGGAUAUUCUGUUUCAGCAAAAAUUAAUACAUUUGUGGUCAUUAAAACAGGUGAGUCACUUGUCAUUUCAGCAUUCAGUAGCCUGAGGCAGGAGGAAUAUCAUGAGUUUGAAGCCAAUGAAGAUCUUAUUACAGAAAACCAAGUCAAAACAAACAAACAAACAAACAAACAAAACCCAAAAAAGCUUUUGCUGGGUAAAUAUGGGAUGUUUCCCAAGUUGCACAUGACCCCACAGUACAUUUAUAAUUGCAACGAAAAAAAAAAUUAAAUCCCACCCCCUGCCACUCCUUAACCUACCCAGUUGUCUCACUGUCCUUGCACCUUUCAUCAAAGAUCCUGUUGUGUUGUGUACAUUGUGUUAAGAUCCGUUUCUGUAUAUUCAAUAGCUAAUUCUACACUGGGGAUUGCUAAAUACUAGUCAUUAUCUUGGCAUUAUUUCUAUAGUCCAUCACUGGUCUCAUAUUUUGUAAAUAACUUGUUCCUUCCUCACCUGUCUAAGGCAAUCUAGAAUUGUAAAUGAUUGGCUGAUGGCCAAUAGUUGCAUAGGAAGUAGAAGGCAGAUUUGCAGGCAGAGAGGGGGACUCUGGGAGAAGAAUUGAGAGGUGAGAUUCACCAGCAGACAUGGAGGUGGACGAAUGGACCAGAGCGGAGCAGAGAGAUAGAGCUAGCCACAUGGAUUAGUCAGGAUAGAGUAGUUAGGCAGACUUCCCAGCUAAGGCCUAAGCUUUACAAUGUUAGUAAGCCUCUGUGUCCUUAUUUAUACUGCUGGCAGGUCUACGAAAGUUCUGUUAUACUGUUGGCCAAGUGAGAUUGAGUCUACAUUCCCACUGGCUUGGAGAAGUGGUUCCACUUAAAUACUCCACUACUGUUGGCCUCACAUCCACAUGCUACUAACUGGACUCAGUGGGUUAGUAGGAUAGUAAGAUGUGAAAUAGGGGUGUGUGUGUGUGUGUGUGUGUGUGUGUGUGUGUGUGUGUGCGCGCACACACACGCAUGACAUGGCAUAACAGAUUACAAGAUAGAUGAAAUGACCCUUGGGCAGGGGUCUGCCUGUUGAAGACUGAUCUGUAUUUAUAACUCAGUGUAACACAGAAAAGCUAGGACAGGCUUUGUUCUGUAAUGGUUAGCACUUCUAAACUGUUGGUGGUUUGAGUAAGAAUGGCCUCCAUAGGCUCAUGUUUGGAAACUUUGUCGAAUAGCUAAAAUGGUUUGGGAAAGAGUAGGAGGUGUGGCCUUGUUGGAAGGCACUUGUCACUGGGGGUGGGCUUUGAGGCUUCAAAAGCCCACAUCAUUCCUGGUGUCUCUCUGCCUUUCGUUUGUGGAUCAGAUAGAAGCUCUCAGCUAGUGUUCCAUUGUCGUGCCUACCAGCCUGCAACCAUGCUCAGACUCUUUGCAACCAUGAGUUUCAAACUUAAAAACAAAAAACAAAUCAAAACCCCCAAACCAAACAAAAAACCAAAAAAAAAAAAAAAAAACCAACCAAACAAAAAAAACCCAAAACAAGUUGAUAUGCCCUGUUAUCAAUCUAUUUAAAAAUCAAAUAGAUUUCCAAUCCCUAAGAGAUCCCAACCCUGGAGAGUUUUCCCAUGUACUCACGUAAGUGACAUAGCCCUCAGCACUUUUCUGCUUGGGCCUGGACUAUGGGAAAUUAUAGAUUUGGAUCCCCAAACCAUAAUGUCGGAUUUGGGAUGGGUGACGUCAAGUGUGCUAAGAGCGAAUUUCAAGGGGGUGACAACUGCCUUUCCACUUUUGGUGAAACUUUGGAUGGAUGGAAAAAAUGCUGCCGUGCCCCACGAAGCAAGGGCGCAACUUCAGCUUAAAGACUCAUCUCCGUCCCAGCACCCCAGCGGCAGAGGCAGGCAGAUCAAUCUCUGAGGUCUAAGCCAACUUGGUCUACGUUAGUUUCAGGCCUGCCAAGGGUAGAGAGACCCUGUGCCCCAAAACCAAACACUCAUACUUACCUGUAUGGCAUUCCUCCAGAAAACUCACUGGCUUAUUUUAAAGUUACUAUGUGCACAUCAUUCGUGGUGGGUAGAAGAGUGAAUGUAGGGGAAGGCAGUUGAGAAUGGAGAUGCUGUGGGCUAUACCAGCGAGUGUGCAAGGCUGUGCCACUGUGUGCCAGAAGCAGGAGAAACUUGGUGUGGGAGAAACAUUUAUGAGAGACGGUUGCUGUCGGCCGACACUGGAUCAUCAGAGCCUUGUGGACAGUGAAUAUCAAUGCUUGCUCUAAAGACAGCCCUGUCUUAUUAGGGAGAAACAUUCACUGUGAGUCAAAAGUUCAAAAAUAGGGGCUGGAGAGAUGGCUCAGCGGUUAAGAGCACUGACUGCUCUUCCAGAGGUCCUGUAGGCAUUUGACCCCUCUCCCUGAGGACUUGGACUCUUUCAGCACUUUGGAUAACCAGUUUGAAAGCUGGGCAUUUUGGGACUAGAGAGAUGGCUCAGUGGUUAAGAACAUUGACUGCCCUUCCAGAGGUCCUGAGUUCAAUUCCCAGCAAUCACAUGGUGGCUCACAACCAUCUGUAAUGGGAUCCAAUGCCCUCUUCUGGUGUGUCUGAGGAUAGUGACAGUGUGCUCACAUAUAUAAAUCUUAGAAAACAAAACAAACAAAAAACUGGGCACCCACAGUGACCAAACCACAGUGAUGCACUUUAAAGACUUUUAAAAAAUUUAUGUGGGUGUACAUACAGGAAGCCAGAAGAGGGUGUUAGAUUCCCCUGGAGCUAGAAUUAGAAGUGGUUGUGAGUUGUCCCAUGUGGGUGCUAGAAACCGAAUUUGGGUCAUCUGGAAGAACAGCUAGUACUCUUAGCCACUGGGCCAGCUCUCCAUCUGGGGACACGCCCACUUGCUUUUUGACUUUCUUAUUAAUGACUAGCUCACUAACUGCUGUCACAGCCUCGUGAGUCAUCUGCAUACCUGAGUGCUGACACUGAGUGGAAGCUCAAUGGAAGUGCAGGGAAGGGGGAUGGAGAGUUGAGCUAGUUUUGCUGGUAGACUGGUAAAUGGAUCUUCAAGGAGCUGGAUACAUGGUUGCUCUUUUAGAAGAAAGCAGCCUGACUGAGGAAGCCAGGAAAGCCAGCAGAAGCCUGUGGCCACCCUUUUCUCAUAACUGAGAUAGACAGAUGUCACGCACCUUCAGAGUGAUGGGUGCCAUGGAAGGGAACCAGGGAGGGUCAAAGGACAGUGCUGGGAAGGGACUGUGCAGAUGGGUGGUUAGGUCUUCCCAGAAGGAUGCUUAGAUCAUGACCAAGCUAGAGCUGAGCUUGGUUAAGAACCGAAGAUAAGAAUGAGCUCAGCUGGCUGGGCAGGGCAGAGCCAGGCCCAGAGGCAGGAGAGAAUAGCAACUCAGAGCUCAGACCUGUCUGGCGAUGCUGUCCCCAUGGGAGAUGCAGGGUAGAGGAGAGGAGGAUGAAGGGUUUAUGGGCGGUGCUGUUAGGCUCAGUGAAAACUGAUCAGGAAGAGAAUGGUAUGGGUGAUUGAGCAAAAUAUUUUAUUUCUUUAACAAAGUCUCACUAUGUAGACUAGGCUGGCCUUGAACUCAGAGAUCCACCCGCUUCUGCCUCCUGAUAGCUGUGAUUAGUGGUAUUCACCAUCCCUCCUGGCCGGAAUACAGGUGUAUGCCACUUUCUAGUAUACCAUGUUUUGGUCAGCAGACUCCUUUGGCCUUCUUACCAUUAGCCUUCUUUUCCCAAGCGCUUUAGUUACCACAGUCACCACUCACUGCUCAGUUCACAGCCCCAGGGAACUGCUGUGGCAGGAAUGGCCCCCCAUCUUUGAUGCUGAAACCCUCACAUCCAGUUAUCAAGCCCCCGAAAGCCACCUGUAUCACCUUUUUACCACACAGAGCUUCUGGUGACUGGAUGUGUCCCUAAUGGUGAGAAACAAGCUUCCACUGGCAGCUACUCAGUUUAUGGUACAGACUGUUGUUGGAUUUAGUGACAUUUUGAGAUGUACUUAGGGCCAGAAAUACACCAGGCAGACAGGAUCUGGGCUGCCUGAUUGGCCUCUGCCAUUUCCCACGUGGCUUAGGACAAGAUCCAUGACUCAAUUUCAGCGCUCAGUGAGAAGACAUGGCCAGGCUCAGUUUCUGUCUCCUCGGAAAUGAACACACUAUCCUGUCACUGUGUCACGGAUGUACAAACACAGCCCGGGUCAGAGUCAAAGGCCUUUAGUGGCAGUGGCAGUGUGGGUGGUAAGAGAAUCAGCACAGGGGACACUCCAGUGAGCCGCAGCUCUCCAGGCAUGUGUUGCUGCUGUGUGUUUGGGGAAUCUGCCAGUUCUGGGGCCCACAGAGGCAGCCGAGAGGCCAGAGGUCACUGUGCGGGACAGCACCUGGGACUGACCUGCUGCGCUCACAUCAUGGCUGAUUCCUCAUCCGGAAGACUGGGUGGCAGGAGAGUGAAGGGCAAGCAGAGGCAGAGGGUAGCAGCUUUGUCUAGGUUGCCAUGGAGAAGAGAGCUUGGGAUUUUAGUGGGAGAAAAAAAUUAAAAAAUUUAAGAUCGAAAGCCUUGGUCAGGAAAAGGGAAGAGAGGGGACAGGAAACCCUUAGCUGAUGAAAUGGGAAGGUUAGGUGCAGAGCACGGGGAUGGGGUGGGGUGUGGGGUACCUCACCUGAGAGCUGAAGACCAUUAGGGCAGGUAAGGAGAAGGAAGACGCCAAGGUUACAUAUCUGGCAGCAGAAAUCCACUUGGGAGUCUGGGAGGAUCUCCAUGCUUCCUGUGACUUAGAAAGGCAGUGAUCGGGGAAACUUUAGGUAUCUGGGAUAUCGGCAGAGAAACGACCAGGGAGUGGUGGUUGACGGCCAGUCUAACAGCAGAGGCAUUCCCCACGGUGAUGGGGAUCAGGAGACAGGCAGCAGAAGCCAGGGAAGCAGGCACUUACCUCAGGAGUGUUCAGCGGUUCAGUGGAGCUGGCAAAUGGUGCCAGGGGCCCUGAAAGUGGCGCUGCAGCUGGAGGGUGAAGCUCACCUCAGACGGAUGGCAGCCUGCUGCCAGCAGAGCAGCUGGAGGAGCCACCUCACUCCUAGCUCCUGGCCACCCAGAAGCCUUUCAGGAAGAAGUGCUAUGGGUUCUCUUCCUCUUUCCAGGUUAGAGCCUGGAGUUCAGGCAAGAAAGAAGGAGCCAAAACGCCAGGGGUGGUGUUUCUCUCUUUUAUUUAAAAACAGUGCUUCAUUACCAUUUGCAAAGGCUGAGGCAGGGCCCCUCCUUUGCUAAGAGUUUAUAAAAGCCAGCAACAUGAUCAAUAAUUUAUACACAUGGAGAGUAAUACAAAAAAUAAUGAAUAAAAGCUAAAGAUCUAACUACUCAACCUUCACAAUUCCAGCUACUUGAUAAUAGGAGUAACCCAAUGAAUACUGUAUGGUCUGAAAGCUACUAUACAAUAUGAUUCUUAAGGAGGAAGAGGGAGGGAGGGAGGGAGGGAGUUAGAGACUGUCACAACGCCCUGGGUGCUUCUCUGGAGUUAGCAGGGAAACAGGACCCUGGGCAAGCAGCUCGGGUGCCCUAGGAGGUGAUUCUGGGAGAGGAUGGUGGGAGGGAAGGAGACACAGCGGGGUGGUCAGCUGGACAAGCAUCCGCAUGUGCCCCCCAUGUCCCAGUGGUGCCUGUCCUGCAUGGGGAAGCCACAUGUGCCAGGCAGGCCACUCCCUGCCACAGGGGUGUGGAGAAGAGCGAGGUUCUGUGGUACUUUUGAGCCUUGAAAAGAGAGAGACUCAAAACCUGAGAGCCUCAGUUCACUCUGCAGCUCUAACUUGCACGUGUCCGCCCCAGGGUGGCUCUAGCUAUUCACAGGCUGAAUGCUGACGGAGGGAAGUCAUGUCUCUUAGGGGAAAGGAUCAGCUCAUCACUCGCUAUAUAACGCAGCCAAACGGGCUGCCCAACAAGCACGCACACAAGAAAUACUGUUAACAGAAAAUACAAGAAACCACCUAAGCUAGGAGUCCUGAUGGGGACAGACAGCGACUAAAGCGCGUCAGUCCCCGGAAAAGACAAACCAAAAGCAUUUUCUGAAAAACUCAAAAACUCGCGUGCCCCUGGGAAUCUGGCAUUGGUAACCGGAAGAGGGAGGGAAGGAAAGAGCAUCGCUGUUCCCUUUUUGCCUGCCAGGGUGAAAGCAGCCCCACCCAGCGCUGGCAAGUACAGAGGGCUGCCCCCGAGGUGGGAGGUCUCUGCAAAGGCAAGGGUGAGUUUUGGCUGAUGGGCAGUUCUCAGUUACCAAUCCCUGCCAGCCAGCACCGCCAUGGCUGAACUCAUCUACCGUUUUUUCCUGAGUACACUGUAACUGGCUACAGUUUCGGUAACUUGCAUAAGAACAUGGCUUCCACAGCCAACCACAAUACUUCAGGGACCCGCGCCCCCUGACUCACUUCUAUUGCCUCGCUGAAGAGUUUGGCAAUCUGUGGUAGUUGGUGAGCCUUUCGAAAGGAAAGUUGCCAAGGGACUGUCCUGCACUCAGUAAUCUAGAGGGCACAUGCUGGCUUAGGACACCCAGAGCCUGCUUGGGAUGGGGCCCUGUUUCCCGCUCUAGCCCAGGGAUGGCAACUGCCUGGCUGAUGAGGAAGCAAGGAGAAAGGAGGUACACAGGAGAGGGGAUGGGUGGGAAGAGGCUUCCGGACAGCAACAUUUCCAAAAAUAUAGUGUUUUAUGAAACAGAGAAUCAAGUGUCACUGGUGUAUACUACAAAUGAUCAGACAUUCUCAAGAGCAUGACAAAAGAAAACACACGUUUACAUUAGAUGUUCACCGUGCCCACUAUUGUUUCCUAUUUGAAAACAGUGCAAACAGGUAACUUAUGCUUUAAACACCAAGACCCCUUCCCCACCCCCCAAAGUCCCUUUCCUCCUAAUAUCUGGGAGAAAAGUCUGCAAUUUUGCAAACAUUGCCAUGCUAGAGGUUUGAGUAGUGGAGAACUGGCUGGGCCAGAGGGGAAGGUUGGCCAGGCAGCUUCCCGCCCCCUCCCCCCCUUCCUGGCACACCCGAGUUCCAGACUGCCCUUGAUUGGCCUUGUUCGCCUGGCGCAGGGAGGGGCGCACUAUGCUCUUCUUGCAUAGGCUCACAUCCUUCUCAUCUCAGUGUCUGGAAGCUACAUGACUAGGUACAGGACGGAGGUGGUCGCGGACCUGCCCGCUGUGCCUCAAAGAAAGCACAGCCUAAACCAAACAGUUCAGCCCCGAGGAGUCCAUGCUUGAGGAAAAGCCACAAGCUCUCCUUAAACUAAGAGCCAAGCGCCAGGCAGUUUCCAAGGGAAGGAAACACGGCUCAGUUCAGACAGCGGCUGCUGCAGGGUGGCGGUGGUGGAGGUUCCUGGAAACCUGAGAGCCUUAAAAUGACAAGGAGCAUGGUGCUUCUGGGCUGAGGUUGAACUAAGUAACACAGAAAUUCUAGAAAAGACCUAAGGCAGCUCUCCGGGCUGAAAGAGGAACAUCCAGACAAACAUUUUCACUACAAGUCUCCUUAAAGGAAUCCAGCUUCUAGUAAUAUUCGCAGCAUAGAAAGCCCAGGCCACAGAGGCCUGCAAAACUGCAAACACCCUUCUCACACUGCGAUUCAGCGUCAGCCAUCUUUUUGAAAUCAUCACCCAGAAUCCUCUAACAGAGUCAUAAAAUGCCCGUCUCCUCUAGCCUGCUUCCUAAAUCAGUCCAACAAGCCAGCACAGUGGCCUUGAGGAUCAACCAUGAGGCCAACAUAGUGAAAUCCAGACACUUGGGGGAGCCAGCUCUCAGUGCUCACCCUGAAAUCCAACGACCUUUGCAUAAAAAGCCAACUCCAUCUAGUCUUCCUUGGAAAAGGGCCUGAGGAAGUGGCAUCGGAGAGUGUCCUUGUCCACGCAGCAGAGAUGCACUGGCAAACAGACUGGCCUUGGAGGCCUCAGCCAGAACCAGCUGAACUGAAGUGCAUGAAGGCCCCUCAGGCCCUGCAGCAUGGGCCAUGGGACUGUCCUCUUCACCCUGCGUGGCCACCCUUUCCUGUCUAGGAAAGAAGAAGCCUUCUUCAACUCUCUCUCCCUUCCUACCAUCUGUGGAUACAACUGUUGAGAGACUGGCCUCGUCUCCACUAGGUGAAGGGCUUGCCUUUCUGUGAGAAUGGCCCUUAUUAAACAAAGACCCAAAAUGUCUGUUCCUUUAGCCAGUAAAUUUUCUCAAAAAGAAACAAGAGAAAGAAAAACCCCUCUGCCCCCAUUCUCUAGAACUCCAAAAGGCCCCAGCCCAUCCCUUCCCCUUACUAAAAUAUUUAUGUACAUACAAUGAAAACUGUCC